AGCGAACGUUAGCGGCGCGCCUAACACACGCAAGUCGCACGAGAAAGGGCUUCGGCCCCGGUACAGUGGCGCACGGGUGAGUAACACGUGGGCAACCUUCCCGAACGUGGUGGAUAACCUUCCGAAAGGAGGGCUAAGACAGCAUAAGACCACGGCACUCCGGUGCUGGGGUUAAAGCCGGCCUCUUCGUGAAAGCUGGCGCGUUCGGCGGGGCCCGCGUCCCAUCAGCUAGGUGGCGGGGUAACGGCCCACCAAGGCGAUGACGGGUAGCUGGGCGGCGAGGAUGGCCAGCCACACUGGAGCUGAGACACGGUCCAGACUCCUACGGGAGGCAGCAGUGGGGAAUCUUGCGCAAUGGACGAAGGUCUGACGCAGCGACGCCGCGUGGGCGACGAAGGCCGUCGGGUUGUAAAGCCCUGUGGGGCGGGACGAACACUUCCUGGGUGAACAAUCCAGGGAGCUGACGGUACCGCCUUAGCAAGCAUCGGCUAACUCUGUGCCAGCCGCCGCCGUAACAC
rnacentral:rRNA from 1 species